CGUCUCCUCCGCGUGUGAAUAAUCCCCCGAGAGUCGAGCCUCAGAAGCCGAGGGUCUGUUCGGAUGGUGAGGAGCGAGCACCCAUGCGCCUCGGCGGACUGUUGCGGAUUGAGCUGUGCUCGUGCGCCGGCUGCUGAAAUAAUGCAGUCUCUCAUCUCACCAGUGACAAAGGCUAUCCUCGUAGCUCUCUUUAUUUUUGCCAUUUUGCUCAUCCUCUAUGUGAUUCUGUGGUAUAUCUGCAGAGACGUGGACUGUGAUCACGGCAUUUGAAUUUGGAGACCGAAGCUGCGGAUCCGCGGAGAAGUCAGGGUGACCCCGUUUUGCCCAAACAGAAUGGCAAGCUUUCUAUAGUAACGGGCGGCGCCAAAGGACAAUGAGACGGUCAGACAGCUGACGAAUCUGGGAGUUUCUGUCAUAAUAGUCUCACGUAAUGAAGCGGAGGGUCUGGCCACUGUGAAGAAAAUUUGUGAUGAGGACAGUGAAGCUCAGGCGGCUGUUAUGCUGGUUCCUGAUGGUCAAACCGAAGACGGAUUUGAGACUCAUUUCGCCACUAACUGUCUAGGUCACUUUCUGCUGACCCGCCUUCUGCUGGACAGCCUGGUGCAUUCUGGGAAUGAUGGCUGGUGCUCAAGGGUCUUCAGCAUCUCGUCCUCAGCACACUAUGCCGCUGGUGCUGGUCUGCAGGAUCUUCUCAGCAUACUCCGGCUGAAGGUGCAGCUGAUGUUUCUCUGGAUCUGGAAGGAGUUGGUGGAUGUUGUGUGUGUGAAGGGUCUUACGAUGAAGAUCUUCAGCUGGACUCUGGAGAAACACCUGCGAUCCUCCAGGACUCACUCUUAGUUUAACAGAGUUCCUUCAUGUUUGUGAACUGGACUAACAUCAGUGGAACUGAAGGUGGACGUCGAUCAGAUGCAGCGCGAAUGAACGAUUGACAAUCUCAUACCGGAGAACUGUGACCGAUGGAGGAAACCAUGUAGCUCCUGUCCAUUAUUUCUGGUUCUUCUGAAGGGCUUGGCGCUGUUGAAGGAUCUUCCCUCACUGUGAGUGUUUCUGUCAUGACGGUAUAAAAAAAAAGCUCCCUUCCACCAAAAUCUCCUGCAAAGUGCUGCUGCAGUUUCUUCUCUUCUCUCAAACCUCUGCUGCGUUUGCUGAAGCUCCCGCUCUGCUCAGUAACAAACACUCAUUUCACCUUCUUGAAAGUCAACAUGACGGACUCAUUUCCCUAUAAACAUGCUCUCAAUGUGAAUGAUUCAUCCGUGCACGUUAUUUCAAGUAAACAAUGUCUGUUUUUGUAAUUGUUCAUCAAAAAGUAGUAACUCCAUCUCCAGCUAACAGAGAACGUUCCCAUAACGUUUUUUAAAGGUUAUGCAAAUGUAAGGACAGACAUUCUUAAAAUAAUUUUUAUGGAACGUACUGAUAAUGUUUUUUUAAUACGUGUUCUCAUCAUGUUCUCAGAACAUCAUGUUCAUUCAUCAGUAACAACAACUGAAGGUUCUCAUAGUGUUUUCAAAAUGAUAACGUGGAAUUUUCGUUCGCAUAACCAAGAAUUAUUAAAGUCCAUUAACAAUAAAAAAGAGAGAAAAUUUAAAUGUAACAUUCUCAUAUAUAUUUUUUUAAAUGAUAGAAUGUAACAUUCCUCUAACGUUUGCAUAACCGAGAAGAAACAUAAAAAUGGGUUUUAAACCUUUAGAGAACAUUUAAAUGUAACAUUCUCAUAACGAUUUCUAGAUGAUAGAAUGGAAUGUUUGUCUAAUGUUUGCAUAAAAACUUUCUGAAUACCUUAAAAAAAUUAUAUUAUCAAUGUUUAAAUAAACAUUUACAAAUAACGUUUUCAUAAUGAUUUCAAAAUUAUAAAACGGAAUGUUCCUCUUACGUUCACAAACCAAGAAACGUUAUUUAUAAAAAUGUUAAUUCUCAUUAAAUUUUCAAAAUUUAGAGAAUGCAAUGUUUCUCUUUAGUUCGGAAAACCAAGAGAAAUAGUUGUUUAAAUGUAAAUAUUAAGCAUUUUAAACAUUGAGAGAACAUUUCAAUUAAAUGUUUUCACAAUGUUUUCAAUCUGAUAAAUGGAAUGUUCCACUAAGGUUCGCAAAACGAAAAAAAAAGAAAAUAUUCCUUAAAUAUUAUAAAAAUUUACGUUUUAAACGUUAAGAGAACAUUCCUAUAUAACGUUCUCAUAACGUUUUCUAAAUUAUAGAAUAGAAAGUUUCUAACGUUCACAUAACAAGAAGAAAUUAAUACAUAAUGUUUUCACAUUUAAAAAUCACGUUUUCAUAAUUUAAUGAGAAUGUUGCCAAAACGUUGCUGGAACGUCUUUUGUUAGCUGGUCUAAACUGUCUGUCGUUGUGGUUAUUGAAACAGUGUUUCAUGUCUAUUUUUACUGUGGUAAAAUCACUGUACUGCACAACCUUGUGCUUUUUUAAAACAACAUGAUGUUCAAUCAAUAGUUACAUUUAUUAAAAUUGAUAACUAGUUGAUCAAAUAUUCCACCAAGUGUAUACUGUAGUUCAUAAAAGCUAAACGUUUUGGUUCUCAAGCAGCAGAAUCUUGAUGCAUUAAAACAAUAUCAUUUGGAUUAGAUUUGCAAUGACUUAAACAGGAUUCAGAGUCUGAGCGAUUCAUUUAUAAGCCAAUUUAAUACACUACAUCAAAUAAUGAAAACAUCCAUAUUUUAAUUAAUAGAAAGAAAGCUUUUUUUGAUUCCCUUUGAAUGUUAUCAGAGAAUAUAACACUGUAAAAGAGCGACUGAGACGGAUUUAUUGACGAUGAUUCCCCUAAAACAAUCAAUGAUGUCUGAACAAACACUUCUUUCUGAAACACAGAAGUGUGACAGGCACAUAUCCAAAGGAUUUUUAUGAUAUCACACUCACGUUAAUGGUGCAAAAUUAUAAUGAAAGGAAUAAUUUACUUAAAAUGAUCGACUGUCCCUUGAACACAAACCCAAAAGAGUUUCUCGUGUCAACGUUUGUCUCAAAAUCUAAGAAACUGAAAGAAAGCAAGUGAAUCUUUGAAUGAAUGACUGAAUAUUCAUUUAUAAAUAAUAACCACAUUGCAUCUUCUGUGUUGUAUGCAGGUUUUGUUCUUUGAUUCAUGUCUGCUGUGUGAUAUUGAUUACUGUAGGUGUUAUUAAUAUUCAGUACGCUGAUGUCAGUGUCGUGUGUCGUGUUCACUUUUCUUCAUGUUUCAGAAGAAAACUUGCACUGUAAAAACGAAGAGGUUUGCUAAAUGCUUUUAUGACUGAUGAUCUUGCAUAUGAAAUGCACUUUAGCAAGAAUAAUUUUUAAAGCAGGUGACAGUGUGACACUGUAAAGGUGAAUCUCGCAAUCUAUAAAAAAAAAUGAAUCCAACAGGAAAAUAAAGCAACUUUUGGUAUUUAUCUUUUCUAUUAUUAUUUAUUUAUUUUUACAUUACAUUUUACAAUUGCAUGACACUCUCCUUGAUUGUAAAGCAUUUAAAAAUCACGAUAGUACUUGGUCUUAAGAAAAAAUGUUUUAUUUUAUUUUGUAUUGCAUCCCUGUUUUGAGGGAAAUGUUAUGAAACUGAUGUCUCAAAUAAUUCUUUAAGUUUUUAUGUUCCCUUUUUCAUUUGAGUUUGAGGUUAAAUGUGUCCUCAAUAUAUAUUUUUUGUAAGAUUCACAUUUACAUUUUAAUAAACUUGACAUGUAUUCUUAUUAAAGAAUACAUUGAGACACUGUUUUCCAAAUGAAUGUUGUUCAGUGCUUUGGCGCAAUGUAUUUUGUUUAAAGCACUAUAUAAAUAAAGGUGAUUGAUUGAUUGAUUGAUUAAAAUGUGAGUUCAGGUAGAAUGGAAGAAAGACUUUCAAAUGUGUCUGAUUGAAAUUUGUAAUUUUUAUUGUCAUUCUUGCCAACAAACAGCAUAUAGUAUGAAAUCUAACUGUUCAGUGUUUAAGCUUCAAAUAUUAUUUUGUAUGAUUUAAUGAAAUCCAUAUGUGACUUUCUGGAAUAAUUUACCAAAGCGAACAAAAAUGAGAUUCAGCACAUUUUGUUUGUCAUUAUUAUUAUUAUUAUUAUUAUUAUGUCAUAAUCUGGUUUCAGUGAUUCUGAACAUGUUCAGUGUUUUUCUUACAGAUGCGUUUGUUGUUUAUGAAGUCAUGAUUACCCAUGAGCCUCUUUGUCUGAGCCAAUUCACAUGCAAUAACUGGUAAAUAUACCAAAACUUGUUUCUUUCUCUGUGAUGAAAAAGUGAAGCCUCAAUCAUCCUGUCUGAAUAUUCCCUAUCAAUAUCUGCAAUAAUAAUAACAAUAAUAAAAUCAUGUCCUGUUUCUUAAA